rnacentral:misc_RNA from 1 species
GAUAGGGGCCUUCGGGUGUAUCGCUGUCGGCUUGACGACUUCAUGUGGCUUGGGCUGUGAGGUUUCAGCGCUGUAACCAGGCCAGAACUGGAAGGCAUAUGGAUAGAAUGGUGUCAUGACAGUCGGGUACAAAACCGGGUAACUGCUUGGUGGCGGCAGAGUUUCGGGCUUCGGAAUAGCUCCUUCAUCGUUGGAGUUGGAGUCCAUCGACUCACA